UAACCGUAGUAAUUCUAGAGCUAAUACGUGCAACAAACCCCGACUUUUGGGAGGGGCGCAUUUAUUAGAUAAAAGGCUGACGUGGGCUCUGCUCGCUGAUCCGAUGAUUCAUGAUAACUCGACGGAUCGGUGGGCCUUUGUGCCGGCGACGCAUCAUUCAAAUUUCUGCCCUAUCAACUUUCGAUGGUAGGAUAGGGGCCUACCAUGGUGGUGACGGGUGACGGAGAAUUAGGGUUCGAUUC
rnacentral:ncRNA from 1 species